AGUUGGUGAGGUAAAGGCUCACCAAGGCGACGAUCGGUAACUGGUCUGAGAGGAGACCAGUCACACUGGGACUGAGACACGGCCCAGACUCCUACGGGAGGCAGCAGUAGGGAUCUUGGACAAUGGGGGAAACCCUGAUCCAGCGAUGCCGCGUGUGUGAAGAAGGCCUGCGGUUGUAAAGCACUUUAAGUGGGGAAGAAAGGCGCAUGGCUAAUACCUAUGCGUGUUGACUUACCCACAGAAUAAGCACCGGCUAACUCUGUGCCAGCAGCCGCGGUAAUACAGAGGGUCAAGCGUUAAUCGGAAUUACUGGGCGUAAAGCGUGCGUAGGCGGUUAAUUAAGUCUGAUUGAAAUCCCCGAGCUUAACUUGGGAACUGCAUCAGAUACUGGUUAGCUAGAGUAGAAAAAGGAAGGCGGAAUUCCAGGUGUAGCGGUGAAAUGCGUAGAGAUCUGGAGGAACACCGGUGCGA
rnacentral:rRNA from 1 species